rnacentral:rRNA from 1 species
UACGGAAGGGGGCAAGCGUUGUUUCGGAAUCAUUGGGCGUAAAGGGCGCGCAGGUGGCUCUGGUAUGUCUGCCGUGAAAGCAUACAGCUCAACUGUAUUGUGUCGGUAGAAACUGCAGGACUUGAGGCUGGGAGGGGCUGGUGGAAUUCCCUGUGUAGCGGUGAAAUGACGUAGAGAUGGGGGAGACACUCGUGGCGAAAGGCGGCCAGCUAGACCAGUUCUGACACUGAGGCGCGACAGCGUGGGGAGCAAACAGG